rnacentral:rRNA from 1 species
GCGCGGAAGAUGUAACGGGGCUAAACCAUGCACCGAAGCUGCGGCAGCGACGCUUAUGCGUUGUUGGGUAGGGGAGCGUUCUGUAAGCCGUUGAAGGUGUGCUGUGAGGCAUGCUGGAGGUAUCAGAAGUGCGAAUGCUGACAUAAGUAACGAUAAAGCGGGUGAAAAGCCCGCUCGCCGGAAGACCAAGGGUUCCUGUCCAACGUUAAU